GGGGAGGGCAGGUUUGACUUUCUAAAUGGGCUUUGUUCACCCAAUGGAAGAGAAAACUCCAGAGCUUGCUCAGCAGCCUGGGCACUGGGCUGCCAGCGUGGGCGGGGCCCCUUGGGGGAGCCAGGGACUGAGCAGCCCCUUUGGGUGGCUUCAUGGUAAAACAAGGUUUUCUCACCUCAAGGCCUUUUGUGUAACGAUGGGUGAGAGCUAAGAGCGGCGGGGGGUGAGGUGAGAGAAAGGCGCAGAGGAAUCAGGCAGCUUACUCAAAACCCGCAGGCGGCACGGGCAGGGCUGGAAGCGAGGGGCCGCCUCUGCUGAAGUGGUCUGGCUCCCAGCGGGACCCAUUGUUGGGCCAGGCACUCCUCCUUCCCGGGCCCCUACCCCUGAGAGCAGAAGCAGGGCACCUCCGGCGGGUGCCAGCACAGAGGGCCUCUGGCUCUUGGCUCCAGGUCCUCACUGGCAUAGAGACAAAGCCAGGACAAUCUCCAGUCACUACAGCACACAGUACAGCGCAUCCCACCGUGAUCAGGUGCCCUCUGACCAGGCGUGCCCCAGAAAGUACGGGGUGAUCCUGGGGUAUCGAGAUGCUGAAAGGGAAAAGGAAGCCCCGAAAAAUCACACCGCUGGUUUGGAGCUUUUACUCUCUUCUCAGUGGCUAAUUUGAGUCCUCCUAAAAAAUGUGUUGCUAGACGUGCUGACACCCUGGCCAGUGGGUCAGCCCUCAGGGGGGAGUUUGUCUAGAAUCCUCCGAAGAGGAAGGAAGCGGCGUGAUCAGGGUCUGGCUCCUGCUGCUGAGGAAGACGAGACAUCCGCCCCAAGGUCCUGGCAACUCUCAGCCAGCGAAGGUCCUGAUUCAGUGACUUCGUGUGACAGUUGGGUGGGAAGAGGAGGAUGGAUGGAGAAAUUAGAGUCAGUCGCUUUCAAAAACGAUCAGAGUGUGACUGGAAAUGCUCUUCUCUGCCUCGUUCUGAAGAGACUCAUUCUGGACAUAAUCCUCAAAAUGGAAAGUGGGGAGCGCGUGUAUUCUCCAAAUGGACAGGCCAGAUCCGGCCCCAGUGGGCUGUGCAAGGGGCGUCCGAUCCCCACACCCCGGGGGGAGGCAGAGAUCCGC
rnacentral:lncRNA from 1 species